rnacentral:rRNA from 1 species
GUGAACGCUGGCGGUAGGCCUAACACCUGCAAGUCGAACGGCAGCACCGUAAGAGCUUGCUCUUACGGGUGGCGAGUGGCGGACGGGUGAGGAAUACAUCGGAAUCUACUUUUUCGUGGGGGAUAACGUGGGGAAACUUACGCUAAUACCGCAUACGACCUACGGGUGAAAGCAGGGGAUCUUCGGACCUUGCGCGAUUGAAUGAGCCGAUGUCGGAUUAGCUAGUUGGCGGGGUAAAGGCCCACCAAGGCGACGAUCCGUAGCUGGUCUGAGAGGAUGAUCAGCCACACUGGAACUGAGACACGGUCCAGACUCCUACGGGAGGCAGCAGUGGGGAAUAUUGGACAAUGGGCGCAAGCCUGAUCCAGCCAUACCGCGUGGGUGAAGAAGGCCUUCGGGUUGUAAAGCCCUUUUGUUGGGAAAGAAAAGCAGCAGGUUAAUACCCCGCUGUUCUGACGGUACCCAAAGAAUAAGCACCGGCUAACUGCGU